GACGAACGCUGGCGGCGUGCUUAACACAUGCAAGUCGAACGGAAAGGCCUUGCUUUUGUGGGGUGCUCGAGUGGCGAACGGGUGAGUAACACGUGAGUAACCUGCCCUUGACUUUGGGAUAACUUCAGGAAACUGGGGCUAAUACCGGAUAGGAGCUCCUGCUGCAUGGUGGGGGUUGGAAAGUUUCGGCGGUUGGGGAUGGACUCGCGGCUUAUCAGCUUGUUGGUGGGGUAGUGGCUUACCAAGGCUUUGACGGGUAGCCGGCCUGAGAGGGUGACCGGCCACAUUGGGACUGAGAUACGGCCCAGACUCCUACGGGAGGCAGCAGUGGGGAAUAUUGCACAAUGGGCGGAAGCCUGAUGCAGCAACGCCGCGUGCGGGAUGACGGCCUUCGGGUUGUAAACCGCUUUCGCCUGUGACGAAGCGUGAGUGACGGUAAUGGGUAAAGAAGCACCGGCUAACUACGUG
rnacentral:rRNA from 1 species